AAUAUUUAAAGGCAAGUCUGGCUCAUCAGUGUAGAAAAGACUUCACAGUUCAGGACAUUAUGUGCUGAAGAAAAAGAGGUCAAGAAACCCUCUGAAGGCCAGGAUCCAGGAGAAAAAUUUGCAAAAACUGUUUUGGUGAACAAAUUUUAGCAAAGCAAACAAGGUGUAUCUCCCUCCACCCUCCAUGCCCUACUCCCAGCAGGUACUUUACUGAGAUGUUAACAAUUCCCGAAUCAAUUUCAUAAAUGCACAUUCUUAUUUUAUAGAUCUGCAAAUAGAUCUCUGGCUAUUUUGGAAGAGCCAAUACAUCCACUUUCAGUAAGGAAAUCCUUUGAGCAGGAUCCCAAAUGCAACUGUAUUUUCAGAUAUUUCUGUACUCUUUUUCUAGUCAUAAUACUAGCAGCUCCAUGUGCAAUCGUAGCUUUGGUGUACAUUGAACGACUUCUAACUAAUGCUAACAUCGAUCUUUGUCCUACUAAUUGGAAAAAGAUUGUCCUUGGAGCCAUGCUUCUUGCCUCCAAGGUUUGGAUAAAUUGUGGUCUGUAGAGUGUGGAUGACAGCCAGAAUCCCAAGGACAUUGCAGUUGAGAACAUGGGCAAGAUGGAGAAGUGUUUCUUAGAGCUACUUGAGUUUAAUAUUCAUGUAUCUGCCAGUGUCUAUGCAAAAUAUUACUUCGAUCUGUGUGCCUUGGCAAAUGACCAUAACUUGUAUUUUCUAUUUGGUUCUCUUCACAAAGAUAAAGCACAGAAACUGGAGGCUGUCACGGCCGUGUGAAUACAAAGACUUGCAUCGAGAUGCCGCUGCAAUGAAAAGGGCUGUCAGCAUGAACUUCAUUGGUAUUUGGUGCUCUAAUGCCGUCUUAUCUUAAAGAGAGAAAUUAGCCUUAAAAGACCCUGAGCUUCUCAACUGUAAAGAGUAGAAAAUAUCACUUCUGCUGAAAGAACAACAAAAUUAGGAUUUUCUUUUUUUUUCUUUGUUUUGUUAAUUGUUUUUGUUGUUGUUGUUGUUAGUGUUUAGGAUUUUCAUCGAGAGGAAGCAUCUUCCAGUCAGCCACAUUGUGGAACUGGUGAUGGUGGUAUGAACAGUGGGUGCCAGGUGCUUCCUGUCCUUCCUCUUCCACUGGGUCCAGAUGGCAUUCCUAGGGCACCACCUUGAACAACUCUUGGGGAGAAGCAGUGUCACAUGGACACGGCACAUCCCAGCUCAGAGUCCACAGUCACCCACAGUCUCAAGCAGGUGCCAGUCGUGUCCACAGUCACCCAUAGUCCCUAGCAGGUGACAGUAGUCUGAACUGAGCUAGAGCUCAAAAAACUUUAGAAUUGGCUCCAGAUUUGUGAGAGCACCUGGGUUUGGUUCUCUGUCCACUGAGGCACUGAAUACAUGAUGGCCCAAAACUCCCCAAUGGCUGGGAGAGAGAGAGUGGCAUCGGGGCGAGGCUGUCAUCACUCCAAGCACCAGGGUGGCUCACGCCUGCUCAUCUAGUCUUUGGAGGGAAUCUGUGCAUGUGAAAUGAGGCCCCUACGUCACGGCUCUAAAGGAAGAGAUGAAAUCGGCUCAUCUUCCCCCAGGCUGAUAAUGGUCACACCACCUAGGGAAGCAGUAAAAGACCUGGCCUUGGGAUUGUUAGGCGAGCUACGGAAGUGAAAACUGAAUUUACCCAGUUCCGGGAAAACAACAAAGGAGGAACAUCUGGGUUCAAAACAUUAUCAGAAGAUCAUUUUCCCAGCUAAUCUUGCCCUGGUGCAUUGCAUGGUCUCAGCACUUGUCAACAAAACAAAAGCCUCUCAAUAAUUCUAACACAGGGUCACACCACAACUCGCAUUUUCCAGUGCACCUCAGUGGUUCAAGAGAUUGCUGGUGCUGCCUGCACCUGUCAGUCUGUUCACAUAUGGAGAGGAGCAGCGGUUCUCACAGGAGCGACUUCUGCAUCCUGAGGAAGUUUGCCCACGCAGUUCUGGUUGUAAUAACUGGUGGCACCCACUGACAUGCAGUCAACAAUGGGACUCCUAUGGUGCACAGGACUGCCCCCCUUCUCAAUCAAGAAAGAAUUUUCUGGCAUCCAAAAUAGAAGGCGCUGAGGAUCAACUGCCCCAGAGUCUACAAGGGAAACACUUUCUGAGACUUUCUUUCUUCUUACAAGACCAGAUCCCCACCAAUGUGAGACGUUAGAUCAAGUUUUUGUGCAAGGGUGGAUGUGGGGGGCAGAAUCCUAAAAUGCCGUUAUUAUCUCUGCUGUCUUUUGUUACACCCUGAAUCUUUCCUUGGGUAUGGCCAGGCCUGUGCCUUGUUCUAGACAUUUGAAUAUGGCAAAGUGAGGGAGUGGCUUUCUAGGAGUUACCUUUCCUUUCCUUUUAUCGGGAACAACAGGAAUCCCUAUUUUCUUUCUUGCUUUUAUUUUCACAGUGCAGUGGUUUGGAAUACCCCACUGUUGAUUUGUGAUUUCCCCCUCCAACCAUAAUCUAUGGCCAUUUAUAUGUAAUUGAAUAUUUUCAUGUAUUGAUAUUUUGUGUCUGAAGAUAAAAUAUUAGACUAAACAUGUUAAAACAUUUCAUGCAAAACUUCAGUGGUUGUAGAGUCUACUCUUUGGUGAACACACAAAUUUAUCUAUUUUAUAUAUUAAAAAUUGUAUUAGUUGUGAUAAUGAUAUUUUCUUUUUUAUCUUCACUUGUUAGAUAUAGUUACUUAAAUUUUUCCAAAAUUAAUGAUAUUGUAUCUUAUAUUUGAUUUAAAAUACUACUAGGA